rfam:Aedes albopictus isolate Foshan contig14812, whole genome shotgun sequence.
CCUUCGAUAGCUCAGUUGGUAGAGCGGUGGACUGUAGAGGAUGUCGAGCGAUAAGCUUUGAUCAAUGGCAGUGAUCCAUAGGUCGCUGGUUCAAAUCCGGCUCGAAGGA